GACGAACGCUGGCGGCGUGCUUAACACAUGCAAGUCGAACGAAGUGGCGAACGGGUGAGUAACGCGUAAUCAACCUGCCCUUCAGAGGGGGACAACAGUUGGAAACGACUGCUAAUACCGCAUACUGAAUGAGGGGCUUGAGUCUGAUUAGCUAGUUGGAGGGGUAACGGCCCACCAAGGCGAUGAUCAGUAGCCGGUCUGAGAGGAGGAACGGCCACAUUGGGACUGAGACACGGCCCAGACGCCUACGGGAGGCAGCAGUGGGGAAUCUUCCGCAAUGGACGAAAGUCUGACGGAGCAACGCCGCGUGAGUGAUGACGGCCUUCGGGUUGUAAAGCUCUGUUAAUCGGGACGCGGUACCGGAAUAGAAAGCCACGGCUAACUACGUGCCAGCAGCCGCGGUAAUAC
rnacentral:rRNA from 1 species